UGAGGAAUAUUGGGCAAUGGAGGCAACUCUGACCCAGCCAUGCCGCGUGCAGGAAGACUGCCCUAUGGGUUGUAAACUGCUUUUAUACAGGAAGAAACUUACCCACGUGUGGGUAACUGACGGUACUGUAAGAAUAAGGACCGGCUAACUCCGUGCCAGCAGCCGCGGUAAUACGGAGGGUCCAAGCGUUAUCCGGAAUCAUUGGGUUUAAAGGGUCCGUAGGCGGGCGAUUAAGUCAGAGGUGAAAUCCCACAGCUCAACUGUGGAACUGCCUUUGAUACUGGUUGUCUUGAGUUAUAGUGAAGUAGAUAGAAUAUGUAGUGUAGCGGUGAAAUGCAUAGAUAUUACAUAGAAUACCGAUUGCGAAGGCAGUCUACUAACUGUAUACUGACGCUAAUGGACGAAAGCGUGGGGAGCGAACAGG
rnacentral:rRNA from 1 species